rnacentral:rRNA from 1 species
CGGACGGGUGAGUAAUGUCUGGGAAACUGCCCGAUGGAGGGGGAUAACUACUGGAAACGGUAGCUAAUACCGCAUAACGUCGCAAGACCAAAGAGGGGGACCUUAGGGCCUCUUGCCAUCGGAUGUGCCCAGAUGGGAUUGGCUAGUAGGUGGGGUAACGGCUCACCUAGGCGACGAUCCCUAGCUGGUCUGAGAGGAUGACCAGCCACACUGGAACUGAGACACGGUCCAG